CGAUCUAUCGGAUCGUUUUAGAAACAUUCAGGGGCCAACAGAUCGCCAGAUCGUUGAGCUCCAUAGGCGGGAUUUCGCCGUCUUCGUUUCUCUUUCUUCGCGGACGAACACGCGCCAGGGGCUGUGCUGUGCGACGCGUCUGGCUUUAAGUCGGAUGCGAGCCGAGUAGGCCUCGAUCCCUCGCGUAGGGAGAGCGUUGGGGCUUGUAGCUCAGUUGGUUAGAGCGCGCGCUUGAUAAGCGUGAGGUCGGAAGUUCAAGUCUUCCCAGGCCCACCACUUCAUCGAGCGCAUGUGUCUCUCCAGGCUCUAGCCCGUGGCAUUCGUCUUCUGGUUACGGGGCCAUAGCUCAGCUGGGAGAGCGCGUGCUUUGCAAGCAUGAGGUCGUCGGUUCGAUCCCGUCUGGCUCCACCAGAUGAUGUCGAAGAUCGACGCUGCAUGCUGCCGUGAUCGUCAUUCGUCCGCGAAACAUCAAUUCGCAUGCAUCAUUCGCAACCGAAUGUGCACUGCGUGUUUUCUGACAUCGUAAAGAGGAGAUCGAUCCGAGUUGGGUCGCAUGGAAAUUCUAUGCGCAUCCCUCACUAUCUCCGGGUCAUUUCGGCGCUCGCGUCUUUUGCAGAUUAACGUCGGCAAGACAUGCGGGUUGUAAAUGACUCUGUUAGCGAAGCCUGACCGCCUCGCUAUCGGUUCGAUCUUACGAAGCAAGCUGGUCUUUCUAAUCAGUGUCCGCUGCACGAGCUCUCCUGGUGAAGGUUCGUGCGGUAUGCAUUCUGCCGAGUGUGUGGACAUUGAUAAUGAGAGCAAUCAAGUGCCUUAAGGGUGUUCGGUGGAUGCCUUGGCGCUGAGAGGCGAUGAAGGACGUGCUACGCUGCGAUAAGCCGU
rnacentral:misc_RNA from 1 species